UGGAGAUGUCGCUUGAUAUGUUCUAGUUC
rnacentral:piRNA from 1 species